GGAGAGCUGUCAGGCAGGCUGUGAUCCUGUGGGUCUUGAAUGGGAGGAGGCCUCAUCAAGGCUGGGAAUCCCAGAUACUCAGACUCUAAACACCGAGACUCUUCUCUCCUAACACAAUGUGAGCCUUGACUGUCUUUCCUGAGACGAGGGAGAAGCAUUACCCCUGCAUGAACUGUUUAUGUGUAUAUACAUAGUAUAUUUAAUGACAGCAGUCAAGGAUGCCAGCGCAAGCAGAAUAACAAAAUGGGAUGAAGGCCAGAAAUGGACAUAACAGCUGUUGGAGGUUAUAUGUGCUGUCCAACUGACUUCAGAAGCCAUAGUUCUAAAUGACUGAUAGAGAAAUGAAAAUGAGGUUCAAGUUGGGUACUGGAGACAGUCAAAGCCUCCAGGCUGUUUUGCAAUAAAAACUCAGCAAGUUGGAAGGACACAACCCAAAGCUUUUCAGACAGCCAGGAAGUUCUGCUGACGGCACUAAAAUUCAGGAUCUUCGUACAACAUCUGAGGCAGGUGUGUUUAUCCAGCCGAGCGGAAGCCGGAAACGUGUCCUCUGAGGAGGACCUCUCUGUUUCCUGUGGGCUGAAGACAUAGUGUGUUUUCUUGCUCCCUGACCUUGAACUCUGACUUUCCACUUCUGGAUCUGCGAUCAGAUUGGAUUCUUGCACUUUGUUUGGAUUGUGGGGUGAUGUCCCUCAGGAGCCUUUGUAUCGUUGUGAGCCAAGGAUGAGCCCUCUCGGCAGGAUGGGUGGGGGUUGCUUCAUGAACUGUGAUCUAAAGCUAGUGUCUAAAACAGUCAUAAUCUGGCCCCAGAUCAGCAAUCACAAACCAUACAUUUAUAUGUUCAUAUGUACACACAUUUGUAUAUUCAUACAAAUGCGUUCAUAACAAAAUAAAUGAUUUGCACCAAAAUACACAGAGGCCCAAUGUCUGAGGAAAAUAGCCCAGCCCUUCUUUCCAGGUAAAUUUUACAUCCUGCUAAAGAGAUCCAUCUCAUUAUUUUUUAUAAAUUUCUGAACUGAUAUAGCCUAGUAGAUUCCUCAAGUUACACUAAAGUCAACUGUUCUCAAAACUUCCAUGAUCAGAAUCACCUGUGUCCCCCCCAACACAGAAAUUAUUGAGCCAGGAUCCCUGUACACGCUAGGCAAGUUCUCUGUCACCAAGCUACAUCUCCAGCUCUCAAGUCCAAAUCUGGAUUUGUCAACAUGAGCCUCAGAUUGAACAGACUCUAGGGAAGGCCAGAGCAGCCACACCCAUGACUACUUCUUAGAUACACUUGGCCAUAUUAGUCCAUUCAGAAUGAUAACAAAAUGCCCAUUGAUUGGGAGCUUCAUAACAACAGGUAUUUAUAUCUUAUCUUGGAAGCUGAAAAAUCAAAGAUUAACAGUUGCUUGAUUUGGUGUUCGGCAAGGGCCAAGUUCUGGAUGUGCCCUCAGGAGUCAGGAGAGAUGAGCAGCUCUCUGAAGUCCCUCCUAGGACCCUCUCAACUCCCAAAGUCCCAUUGUCUAGCAUCACCACAUUUGGGGGAGAUGAGAGUAUUCCAGACAUUUUAAUUACAGCACACCAAAAUUCAUGACCUUCCCAGGAUCUCCAAAUGGUGAUUAUAUAUAAAUAGGAUCAAAAGAUGGCAUCACACUCCCCUGGAGUGGGUCCUUGAACUCAGUUUGCCUGGCACCUUUAGAAGAAUAAAUAGGAAGGGAUAGUCAAAACCAGAUGACUGGUGGAAUGUCAUAUGAAGACAGAGGCAUGAUUGGAGUGAAGUAUUUAAUCCAGGGCAUGCUAAUGAUUACUGGCAAGGACAACAAAUAAAGAAAAGGGAUUGAGACUUUUUGAAAGUCUUGAGAUAGUCUACCCUACUGAUGUCUUGAUUUUGGACUUUAGACCUCUAGCACCAUUUAAGUAUAAAUUCCUUUGUCUUAAGCACCAGCUGAGAACAGUUCAUUAGGUCAGUGCUAGGAAAGGCACAAGGUGCUCUGAAACCACUUUGGAGAACCACUAAUCAGAGUGAAUGACCCACCUCCUUCUUUGGCUGCUAUUCUUUUCUUAUCAUCCCCAUGACAAAGUUUCUUCUCUGGAGUAAUUCUUAUUGUGUCUAUUUGUGUCUUCCCACACCUGAUUAAUUCCCUAAGAAGAAUUUUCACUAGCU